CCUCAACCGAAUGGUAGUCCUCACGCGGAGCAUACUACUGGCUCUGACUCGGAAUCUGAUUCUGACGCGUCCAAAUGUGAAGUUCUAGUCAGUUGCUGGUCUGUAUUUUAAAGAGUUCGUGACAGUGGUGGGCACGUCGUAUUCCAAGGAGAUUUUCAAUUGAAUUCGCUCGGAAGAUGGGACUGCUGGUGUAACGUAAUACGUACGUGGAGUUUUGUGGUUACAUCUACGAAGAUGUAGCGUGCACGAUGCGCGCGCGCGAAUCUACCUACGUCAUCAGUGACAGGGCGCCUCGAGGCUGUACCCGGCAAGUGGCAACUUCUGCAAUUGGUUGAGAGGUUCACCAGGUCUGUAGUCACGGUGGGGCACCGCACGUCGCAGGGGUGGAGCCUUACGCGACUAUUUCAAGAUUAUAAGCGUAACACUGUCUCGGAGAAUGUAAACAGGAGCACGCGACACGCUUUGUCGAUAGAGGGAACGUCGGUUGACGGUGGAGUAGAUAAAGAAUAUCAUUUGAUAGACGGUAUACAGGGUUAUUCCCAACAAACGUACAACCUCAAGUUUGCCUGACUGUUUUAUAUGGAAGAACCACCUUCGGAUGAUACGCAACUAAAGAAUAGCAAGGAAAGAGCUGAAAGCACUCUCGUGGCACCGAUCUACUCCAGACAGUCUUCGCUUUUAUGAAUCCAACAGAGACUUGUAGGUACUUAGCAAAAAUCCGUCUCCAGGGCGAAGCGGCUCCGUGGAUGGCCAAAGGGGAUCACGGGAUCCAGACGAGAGGAUGAGGAUGAUCGUAAACCUUACUCGACGAAGUGGAUUCACGGAACGAUAGUCAACGCUUGGCCAGACUAUACAUAGGGCUACGUACAUACUAGGGUCAGUUACCAUGCCAGCUAGUCUGUGCCAGCUGAACAGUUGGACUACUCUACUUGCAGUUGGAUUCACUAAACUUAGUGACUUUGUCCACUGUGCUAUGCAGAUCACUUGUUAGAUCGAAAUACUAUUCUUUUCAUAUGGUAAUAUCGACUGUACUAUUGAUAGACAGUUGUAAUUAUUAAUAUUUAAUUGUGAGGUUGUAGUCAUUCUAAUGGGGCUUUAUGACUUAAGAAUAAUACUGUAGCCGUCCCCUGAAUGUGCAAUUGGCGUCACAGCUUGACCUUACUUGAUAAACAGUAGUUUAGUUCGCGUGCACAUAGUAAUAAUCGCACGUGAUUACAUAUAGCCACGUCCUUAUUCCUUAAUGGAGUUGCACCGAACUAGCUAAUUAACAUUUUAAAUAUUAAACGGUCUUGGAGAUACGAAUAGUUAAAAGGGUAAGAAAUUCCGAACGAAGUACAGAAAUGAGGUACAGAAGACGAAAGAUUGGGGACUCACGGUACAUGACAGUCAUUCACUGCUCGUACAAUGAUCGUCAUUGACUUAAAGAAAUGAGGACUAACAACGUCUGUUGACAGUGACGUCUCGACUGAAUCAGAUUCCGAACCGGUUGAGUUGGGACUCAUCGUGUGCAAGUAAUGGGUGGAGUGGAAGAGCCAAGACCUCGUGGGAAAAAGAUUAUUGCAAGUUUUAAAACACCAACUCGUGUCAUAACUCAUAACUAAUUGAAAUCACGAUAAUAAGAUUGAAAUGAAAAAGAAAUAUGAAUAUUAUAUAAAAUCACUGCAUUUGAAAUAUCGAAAAACGUUGGUAUUCUCAAAAUUUUAUUAUUCAAUAAGAGCCAACUUCUUUCCGAGUAAAAUUGCUUAAAAAAUAAGGAAAUCUCAGAGGGUACGUUUAGAAACCUCGCUAGACUUGACUCUAGUAUCAUUCUAUUCUCUUCAUAAUGACGAUAAUAAAAAGAAAUGCAACUUACCCAAAUUGCUGUGACAAUGAGUAAGAUUUCUGAGCGCGCCCCAGUGAAUUCAAUUUCUACGUUUUGCAACAGCAAGGCAGUUAUUUUGAUGGAUAAAACUUUUCAAUAAGACCCACCGCAUAUUUUGCAGCUACCAAUCCCAGAAGGUGGACCACAAUUAUCCCAAGAGCAUGUCAGUGAAAAUUAUACGAGGUUCUCAUUACAGGUAAGGUAUUUCAGUUUGGUUACCAACGGGAAGAAGAGUCGAUAUAAUUGGGCCCCAGUGUGCGUGUUGAAAAGGAAUAACAGAACCAGAAGACCAAAAGUGAGUAGAGAAAGAAAUUUGUACCAUGAUUCCUGGUUGACGUAGCUGCUUCUUCUCGAUCUCUCGACCGUUUGGUUCUUUCAUGCAAAAUCAUUUGGACAACCAGGUAGGCAGGCCAGCCUCAAAUGGUUCAACAGUCAGAGUCGAUGUCCCAAAUAUUUCUAUUCUCGAUAUAUUUGACUGGACCGCAAUCAAGUACGAUAUAUACAGGCCCAAAUGUCUUGUCGAGUGGGCCCACUUAUAUCGUGAAUUUUCAGCAGGAAGGCACCUCAACACUUUUUGAUGCACCGCAAACCGGUUAUUUUUUUUUUGCUAAAUUACGAGGUGGAGGUCAACAACGCCAUAUUUUUUUUUAAAUCUCUUAUCCUUUCUCCUUUGCAUAUUUUUCCACGGAAUUUCAAGACUCCUGAGUCUAUUCGAAUUUUUGGUCCGAACGUUCAUCCUUAUCGACCAACGGAUUAUCUUGACCAAUGAUCAUUGUUAUAUCAGCGUCUGAAUUAACGUGUAAUAUUUUCCCUUUUUAUCAAAUUAAAAAAUUAUUCCUUACUGUAUAUGAAAACGUGUUGAUAUCAUAUUAAAAAAAAAUGAGAUCGUUAUCCGACGUUGAUAAGCGCGGAACGAGCAUAAAGCAAAACGAUUCAAAGUGAACCUUUGAGUCUUCGCUGAUAAAUUGGAUUAUCGAGUGAAGAAUAAAAUGAUUUAACACGGUAAGCGUCGAUGCACCCUGUACUCGUGAAGGCGGUCUCACAAGUGAAUCCUUAUUAUAAAGUACACCUGCGUGUUACCACUCAUAAGCGAGAUCAUUAAUUAAAUCUAUUAUUAUGAUAUUAAAGACGACACGCGCCAUUAAUUAUUCUGCACUUAUACAGUCACGCAUCGCUGAAAAUUACGUAACGAUCUCAUAAAUUUCUUACGUCAACACGUGUUAUUAUCAAACAGUGCAGCACUUCUUGAAUCACCAUUACGAUACAACAAUCGGCUAAAACAAUCCCUUGAACCCUCUAUUCAACGGCGCUAUCACUUAUUGCUACUCACUGAACCACUCAUUCACAGAGAUUAGGAUUGUCGUUUUUAAUAAAUCUCGUUAAUUAACUCGUAUUUAAUCGAAUUUUUUUUUCACCGAUUUUUUCAACUUCACUUUCUGCCCAGACACGUUACGUAUAUCGCGACCUCGAAAUGAUCGAAAAAUCAUCCAUUUUUUUUCGUAACCCGUAAACAAUGCUCCAAUUCCAGUUCGAAAUUUUUACUUAUGAAGUUACUUACUUAGUGGACCCUGCCUUCCUGAUGAGCUCAUUAAGAUACACAUGUCAUUUAUUCGCGGAUAAGGCAUACCCAGUGAGGAGCUCAUAUGUGUGUCGGUCUUCAGGGUUCAUUCCGGUCAACUCUUCACAAACUGGAGGUCGUGGUCCAGUAUCAUAAGGGUAUCGAGGAAUAUCGAACAGCUGGAAAACAGACGUGAACUCGUAGAGAUACUCAUGAGUCUUCCUAUCUAUAUUAGUAACGUGUGUGUUUUGCGUUUGGCAACUUGAGCGAAACGACUGUUAGCAGGAUAUAGGAAGUUAUAGGAGGUGAACCAAGCCGAAGCAAGCAAUAACGUCGAGACUUUACGAUAAAACUUGCUUUACUAUCAGCCUGCAAUCCUUAGCUUUGAACGAAUCAGAAAUGUGUUUGCUAAGUCAGAAGUACAAAGACGAUAAUAAUCCUGAUGGAUUUCAUAUAUUUUCUGAUACUUGAGAGUUGUAAAAUUAAAAUUUUUACUGACGUUACUUUUUUAUAACGAAAAAUCGUAAAUUUAUCAAGCAAUAAUAAAUGUUAAAACUAAUGUUUAUUUAUCAACUAAAAAAGCGAUGCUGUAUCGGUGAUUUUUCUUAUUAGCAACCGGACAAGUAUUUUCUAUACUUUCCGGUUUCUGUAUUAAAGUUCAUGGUAAUAAAAUCUUGAUAACAUAUUAAACUUCUUCGAGCGUAACGUAUCUAUGGGUUAUAGAUUCAGGAAGGUGUCUAUAUUACAUUUAUUAUUCAGACUGUUAAUAAGUACUACACAUCGAUCAAUAUUUUUAUUUUCAUAAGUCUCCCUCGCUGAUCGGGUCGUUCAAUUGCGUCAGAGGGAAAGUUUGAUUCACAUUUGUACAAACCUGAAGUGACGCUUAUAUCACUUUAAAGAUCUUCAAGAAAUCUUUAUCAUUAUAUAUUAUACAGCAUAAUACAAUUAAUAUAAUUCGGUUAGUUUAACCGCUAUACAGAAUUGUAGAAUUUUUGAAAUAUAAUAUUUUCUUUAAUCUUAAAAAGUUUCGAAAAACUACUUCGGGCAGUUAUCCUAGCAUCGUGACGCCAAUCUUAUCUCGAAUCAAUGAAAUUUCCGCAGGGACUGUACCAGCAGAAAUAGCAAUGCAGCGAUCGGCACCGUAGCUAAUUCCGAAUGAAACUAGUCUCUUAAAAUUAACAGUAUUCCAUACGUUGUUAAAGAACACUAUCAAUCUUUGUCAAAAAGAAGAUUCCUCAUCAUACCAAUUAUUAAGUCCUAGCAGAAGUCCUAUACGAAGAAUACCAAUAGUACAUAACCUCGAGUGUCCCAAUAUGUUAAAUCGUCACUAGAAUCAAAAGGAACCUCCCACAAUGUUUCCAUAAGCAACAUGUGAAAUCACAGAAAGAUACAUUAAUGCAUAUAAUUUUUCCCAAUACCUACGGAAUAUCCCAAAGCUUAAAACAAUAUUAACUUGUUGAAAGGUGAGUUUCAAAAUUUUUUCUGUUGCGUAUUGGCAGUUAUCAGGACACUUGAUAACUUCUAGGACGCAUCUGGAGGUAUUUUAACGUGUAACGCAUGCUUUUAAGAAUACAAAGCGGCGUUCACACAGAAUUUUCCAAAAAAAAUUUUAUGCUAGACAAUCGGAGUUCUGAUGGGCCAAAAAAUGGUUUCCUUAGGUUAGAUUAGGUUAGAACUCCAACGUCACUGUCCAAAGUUUAGUUUUUAAAAAAAAACAAAAAAACAUCGAUUUGCCAUUUUGAGUGCCGCGCGUCCUGGAAAUAGGCCUUUGACAAAAUUAUAGUAUGAUAAAUGCAUCGCCCGAAGUUAGCCUGUCUGUUUUCUACGGUAGAACCACCUUCAGGUGGUGAGCUUGUCACGAAUAACCCUAUAUACAUAUAGGAAAACAUAUCUCACCGAGCGUGUCAGUAAAUAUUUCCAAAAUUUAUAAAGCUCGUCAGCAUUUUCAACGUUAUUUCGUAUUCAUCGCGCGAGCAGAUUUUCAUAUAACACACGUGACUCUAGUUCCCACAAAAGUAACCUAGUCCCCAUACGCUAACAUACCGAUAGCAGUUUAUCCCGUAUAUUUUUAUUUUCACGCUUUCGUCAUCGAACGUACUGCACAUUGGUUCGUGAGGUAGUACAAAGUAUCGUAUUGUCCUGCUGUGCAUCCUCGAUACAUUACACACACAAUGCACGAAGAACUUGUUCGGUUCUUGCCUUCUCAACGUGUAUCUCUUUUGUUUAUCAACCAGUACCAUCUAGGGUUACGCACUUCUCAAGAAUUGUGCAUAUGCGCAUGACACGUGUGCAUGUACACGCAUCGCUACCAUCUUAACGCUUGAGAUACAAAGGUAAGUAAGUUCAGGCGUAAUUUAAUACGUUUGUACCAAGUCAAUCGUACACGUCGCUGAAUGACUUAAAUGAUUGUUAAUACAUAUAUAUAUAUAUAUAUAUAUAUAUAUAUAUUCCCCACUCUUUUCUAUUUUCUCAGCACUAUAUCUAUGUGCAUGUUCAUACUCCGGUGGACGUCAACCGGAUGUGGGUAUAUAGCAGAAUGGUGGUAGAUAUAUAUACUUCGUCGUUGGAGAAUGUACUCUGCUUCUCUCCCACUUUUUAUUAUACGUAAUAUGUAUCUCUCCCUCUCUCACGAGCAUUGCCAACUUCGACAAUCUCACUCGUAUCCCACCGUGACACACUUGUAACGUAUACAUAUGUUUCUCUGUACAAAGUAGCGCUGUUGCAACUAUCUCGAUCGGCACCAUCCAUCUUCCUCGCGGCUGAAACCGCGCACCAUGGACCAAACAGCUAGAUAGGCAGGCACGCGUAUAGUUGGCGUUGGGUUGGUAUGCUUGGCGAACGAAGUAAGAAUGUACGGUUCGGUUUACGAAUGUGGAAGGUUGGUAGGACUCGAUGCGACAGCAUCCCUUGUAUCGGAGCAAAUGAGAUGCAGAAUCAGCCUCCUCGGAGACACGUGUAACGCGAAUGGAAGUGGGAUCGGGAGAUGGGCAGGAUGAAUAAUGAUCGUGUAUUAAAAAAAAGGGAUGAAGAUUGUCUCAUGAAUGUGUAUGAUACCGUUGGUAACUAUGUAAAACAAGUGAAUUUCUGAGAUCCCGAAGAGUUCGUUAUUUUCGAGGUCAGGGAUAAAGGUCAUUGGUUGAUAUUCGAAAUCGUCUUAUAUCGGAUUCAAAUUUAUAUUCACAUGUCUUUUCGAGAUGUAUCGUUGGCUACGAAUGUCCGGCAGUUGGUGGCUGAAAAAUGGAUAGAUGGAAAAUAAGAAAAAUUAUUAAUUUUUACAUUUUACAUCCUUUGUUACGUACACUACCCAAGUUUGUUUUAAAAGCCUUGCGUGAACUAGCCCGUAAGUACGACUCGCGAUAAAUCCUUAAAGUUAUUGAUCACGUUGGCCUACUCGCGUUAUCGCUCGAUUAUCAUAGUGUCACUGUCGUUGAUUAUUAAUAAAAUUAACCAAUGAACCAAUUAAAAAUUUUUUAUCACCGUAUAUACUCCCGUACCUGAUUUUCAUAUUGGAAGAUAUAGGGGAGAAAGAUAUUAUGCUCCAUCCACGAUCGACCCGUGCAAAAGGCACUGGGGCACCGUGUUUCUGUUUGCGAUUGAAAAAUGUUACUGGAAAAUAAAUACAAAAAUCCGAUGUAAUCUUCUCAAAGAACCUCCCAUUGCCUGCGGCUAUCGGGAGGCUACUAGCUGAACGUUUGUUAGCUGCAAGUCGUUUGCUUAGCGUCACCAUUGAGACGCGUUGGCAGUCGUGAUGAAGACGAUGAUGAAAAUGAACAAUCUCUACGUCCCAGUCGAGGAGCUAAGAAUUUUCUAUUUAGCCGGAAUCACGACGCGAGGAGGAACUACCGAGCAAAUAGUGAAAGCUGGUAGAAAACGUAAAGGGGGAAUUAUAUUUCGAAUAUUAUCAGGUCAUUCUGGUCGUAUCAGCGACGAAUGAUGUAUUAAUAUACCAUGUAUCGCUGUGGCAAACGAGAUAACAUGUUUAUGUACAGUGUACACAUUAUAUCGUUGGGUGCGCUUAAUAUGUUACAUUUUUGCAAUAAAUUGUUUUACUUCGCUGCGAUAACGUCAGUGCAAGUGGCAGCCACGAAUGGCGCGCUCUUUGACACGAUCUCGCGGCACGUAUUUUGUUAUCUCUUAUCGGUAAUAUUUUUCCGUCACUUGCAUUGCGAGGACACACGUAUCGUACAUCAUUCCAGCCAAUAGGAACAGGCGAGAGUACGAUCUGUCGAUCUAGCAAUAAUUCGAUUGAUCUAAUAAUUUUGUUUUUUAAUCUUCAUCCCAAAGUACACGAGAUUUGCCUGAAUAACUGAACUGAUCCAAUGAUCGAUGGAUCGUUAUUAUUUCUGUAGACGUUAUUUGUAUUUUAACAUUAGUCUUAGGUAGGUCGUGACGAUUUUUCAAAGAAACGAAGGUCAAUGUUAUAUUUUUAAUUGGGUAUUCUAUCUAAUCGAGGUUACGUAAUUGGACGAUUUCGAUCUACUUUUUUUUUUAUCCCACGAUGAUUGGUACCCCUCGCUACUUUUUUUAAGGAAAUAUUAUCAUAGUAAUCUUUGUAAGAGGAGUAUUGGUAUGUGUAACCAUGGGUGAACUCAAAGUAAUUUUUAAUGUUGGCAAUUAACAAAAAUGUUUUAUCUUUCACGUGCGCUCUUUGUCAUUAGUUGUCAUUCAUCAAUCUACAAGGUCGUUCAAGUGAACCUGAUAUCCCCUCUACGCGUCCCGACAUUUGCCCCCAUGUCGGUUAUUAAGCCGAGAUAGGUAGUAGGUACUUCGCAGACGAGGACAUGAGCGAGCGAGCGAUAAGGCGUCGGGACGCUGAUAGCGUCGUAUGUUGAUAUCGUUAGAAAUUGUCUGCAUUUUUUGCGGAAAAUGAUCCUUGAGUAGUCUUUGCUUUCAGCUUAUUAGUUAAUCACUGAAAACUUCAUUUUUUUUUCUCACGCACGUCCACAAAAAAUAUAUCAGGCAAUUUUUUGACUUUUUGAAAAAUUUCAAGACAGCUUUUGCAGGGGAUCGAUCCUGUAUCGCAGUAAGAAGAUCCUUCACUGAAGUGGAGAGAUCUUAACUGUACACCCGGUAGCUAUGUGCCGCUACUGUUGUAAUCAUUACUCAGAUAAUUGCAGACGGUAGCCCAUAAAUUCGUAUUCCGUUAGUGUUUGGCGGAGACCGAGUGACAGAUUUUCUGUCUACAGGGUGUUCCGAUAACGAUUUUUCGAAACGAUCAAAAUAUUUUGUUACAACCUCUACGGAGUAGCGAGAAGCGCUCUCAUUAAUUAACCAUGCAAUUGCGGGCUGAUCGGUUAGAAAAUGUAUAAAGGCUAUAGGUCCAGGA